CCAGGCUGAACAACCCCAACUCUCUCAGCCUUUCCUCACAGGAGAGGCGCUCCAUCCCCCUGAUCAUUUUUGUGGCCCUCCCCUGGACCCUCUCCAACAGGUCCAUAUGUUUCCUGUACUGAAGAUUCCAGAGCUUGAUGCAGUACUCCAGCAUUGGACCAAUGCAAAAAUAUAGGGAAAUCACAGGAAAAUCACCUGGCUUCUGGGGUCUGCCCAGCCUCCUCUCCUUUGUUCUGUGGCACCUUGAUAAAAGUUCUGGAUGUCUUUUCCAUUUGAUGUUUUCUAUUUGUCUCUGUUGUCUUACACCUAAGGAAAAAAAUCAGAACCUCUGCAUGUGGACACAGCUUCUGUUCAGAAGCAUUUUAACUCCUUGACACUGUUCAGAACAUGUAUGAACAAGAGGUGAUGCCUUCAUUCAAAACAUGGAAGAAAAAGUCAGAAGACUAUCAUUCAUUUCAGUGGAGUUUCAGAAUGGACUUCUACUCUAAGGAUGCUGUCUUGGAUCAUAUGGAAGGAAGAAAAUUGUCACAGUAGACUGCUGCACUCCAUGGUCAUAGAGCCAAAAUAAAUUUACUUUAUUCACUAGAGACUCUG